CUAAAAAUAAGCAAUAAGACAAUAAGAAAAUAAGAAAUCCCCAUUAGUGUUGUCUGUUUAAAAAAUUGUUUUCGUCAUGACCUCAGUGAUACUAAACAUUCUAUAAGCAAUUUCUAAUGCCUAGUUACUUUCCAACCACCCUGUAGACAUCAUAUCAAACAAGAGAAAAUAAAUAAAAGAAACAUUUAACAAUAUAAUUCCAAGAG